rnacentral:rRNA from 1 species
UACGUAGGGGGCAAGCGUUGUCCGGAAUUAUUGGGCGUAAAGCGCGUGUAGGCGGCUCGGUAAGUCUGCUGUGAAAGUCCAGGGCUCAACCCUGGAAUGCCGGUGGAUACUGUCGAGCUCGAGUCCGGAAGAGGCGAGUGGAAUUCCUGGUGUAGCGGUGAAAUGCGCAGAUAUCAGGAGGAACACCAAUGGCGGAGGCAGGUCUCUGGGCCGUAACUGACGCUGAGGAGCGAAAGCAUGGGGAGCGAACAGG